CCAUGGUAAUGACAUAGAUAUACGACUGUUAGAGGGAUUGGAGACUGGUCACGUGAGCGCAUUACUACUACACUCACCAUCCGCGUUUGUGUUAAGUAUAUUCAUAGUCACGCCUUUUCUUUGACCUUGUGCUAUUUCAAUGGAGGAAGAGCAGAACCAACAGUACAUUUUUGUGGGACUAUUGUAUUAGUUUGGAAGCUUAAUACAGACAGGUCUGCAAAUGGAAGGAUAAAACUGAGGUUUUUGUUUAAAAGAAUCAUGAAUAUAGGAGAUAUGAUGCUUCAAAGGCACUUAUAGAACACAAAUUUUAAUUAUCUGUCAAUAUCAUUAUCUAUUGUAGUAUUCAAUGCUUAUUUGUAGGCCUUAUAGCAUUUGGAGUAGUUUCUUGAAAGGAUCAUGAUAGCU